rnacentral:rRNA from 1 species
CUCCUACGGGGGGCAGCAGUGGGGAAUAUUGCACAAUGGGGGAAACCCUGACGCAGCGACGCCGCGUGGGUGAAGAAGUAUUUCGGUACGUAAAGCUCUAUCAGCAGGGAAGAAAAUGACGGUACCUGACUAAGAAGCCCCGGCUAACUACGUGCCAGCAGCCGCGGUAAUACGUAGGGGGCAAGCGUUAUCCGGAUUUACUGGGUGUAAAGGGAGCGUAGACGGCAGCACAAGUCUGGAGUGAAAUCCCAUGGCUUAACCAUGGAACUGCUUUGGAAACUGUGCAGCUGGAGUGCAGGAGAGGG